rnacentral:rRNA from 1 species
UGGGGAAUUUUGGACAAUGGGCGAAAGCCUGAUCCAGCAAUACCGCGUGCAGGAAGAAGGCCCUCGGGUUGUAAACUGCUUUUGUACGGAACGAAACGGCGCGCUCUAAUAAAGUGCGCUAAUGACGGUACCGUAAGAAUAAGCACCGGCUAACUACGUGCCAGCAGCCGUGGUAAUACGUAGGGUGCAAGCGUUAAUCGGAAUUACUGGGCGUAAAGCGUGCGCAGGCGGUUUUGUAAGACAGGCGUGAAAUCCCCGGGCUUAACCUGGGAAUUGCGCUUGUGACUGCAAGGCUAGAGUACGGUAGAGGGGGGUAGAAUUCCGCGUGUAGCAGUGAAAUGCGUAGAUAUGCGGAGGAACACCGAUGGCGAAGGCAGCCCCCUGGACCUGUACUGACGCUCAUGCACGAAAGCGUGGGGAGCAAACAGGAUUAGAUACCCUGGUAGUCCACGCCCUAAACGAUGUCAACUGGUUGUUGGGAAUUUACUUUCUCAGUAACGAAGCUAACGCGUGAAGUUGACCGCCUGGGGGAGUACGGCCGCAAGGUUG